GUGAGUCAAGGUUGUCAAGAACUGUUUUGAAAUUAUUAAAUAUGCCCAUGUAUUUUUACUUAUAUAAAUCUCUCUUUUUCUAUGAAUUGCUCUCAUCUAUUUUGUAUAAAAACAUGUUAUUUUUGAGUUGUUUCACAUACCAGUAUAUCUGUAUUGACCCCCUAUAUUUCAGGAUCUGAGACACAAUCCCGGGUUUCAGCUAAUCAAUAGAUUGGGUUGUCCAAAGUUUGUAGUGGGUGAGCCUUCUUUAUUUCGGAACGCCUAUUUUUGAUAUUAUUAUUUCCUUUCGGAUUUUGGGUCCGACUGGGGGCCUUGUCCCAGUUUUAAUUAUGAUAAUUGGUAUUGAUGUAUUAGAGAUUUCGUAGAUAGAUGUUAAAUAAUUUGAGGGUUUAUUGAUUUCUUUCGACUGUUCAGUCGUAUGAUGUUAUUGACCAUGUUUCCGUAUGAAUCCAUUUCCUCAUUCUCUUUAUGAUUGUAUGAAUGUGUGUAUGAUUGCCUAUUAACUAAGGGGCGCUCGGGCCUUUAUGGCUUGGGAUGCUCGUCACGGCCAGGGCCUGGUUCAGGUCGUGACAGAAGUUCCUACGAUUCUUUCUUCAAAAAGAUUAUUUCAAUAGUUCUUGGUUGAUGGAUAUAUACUGUUCAAAUCUUUUCGAUUAAAUUAUAUCUGAUUUACUAAAAAAUGGUUGCGAGCUCAUAUGUAUAAAGGGUUGGAAGAUGCGUAAUUCUGGAUCGAGCUUCACAGGUGGUGCACGAUACAUGCUUCAGAAUUAUCAAGCUAUGAUAAUAUGUAAAUGGGCUGGCUACCCUGAUUUUUUAAUCACAUUUACUUGCAAUUCAAAAUGGUUUGAGAUCUGUAUAUUUCUAGAGAGUAGGGGCUUAAAACCUAAGGAUUGUCUAGAUAUUUUAUCCAAGAUUUUCAAAAUAAAAUUGGAUCGCUUAAUAAAGGACUUGCGAUACAAAUGAAUUAUUGGAAGAGUAAAAGCAGGUAUAUUUGGUUCCUCACUCAUAAUUUAUAUAUAUAUAUAUAUAUUUCAUAUAUUAAUCUAUCUUUAAAUAUUAAUUCAUCUAAUUAAUUUGUCUGAUUCAAUAAUUUAUAUAGUUGAAUUUAAAAAACAAGGAUUGCCUUAUGCUCACAUUAUACUUUUUCUUUAUGAGCAAAAUAAGCAUCCCAUUGUUGCAAAUAUUGAUAGAAUUAUUUCAGCGAAAAUACCAGAUGAAUUUGCCAAUCCUCACUAUUAUAAAGCAGUGCAGUUAUUCAUAAUGCAUGGGGCAAGUGGUUCUGCUAGAAGUUACUCUCCUUACAUGCAGAAUGAUAGAUGUACAAAGAACUUUCCAAAGAAAUCUUUCCAGUCAACCACAAUUGAUGAAGAUGGUUAUCCUAUUUACAGAAGAAGGAAAGAUGGUAGAAACAUCAAGAACAGGUAUGGGGUACUACUUAAUUGAUUGGUAGUAUUUACGUAGAGUGGUCAUAUAAUAUCUAUUCCAUUAAUUAUUUUUGAAUUAGAAUUAGAGAUACAAUAUCUUCUCAAAGAAAGAUCAUAAUUUAUUUAUUUUCUUUUUGAGUUUGACUAGAUAUGUGGUGCCACACAAUCGAUUCUUCUGUUAAACUAUGGUUCUCAUAUUAAUGUGGAGUGAUGCAAUCAAUCCAAAUCUAUUAAGUACCUAUUUUAGUACAUUAAUAAGGAAAAUGAUCGUGUUACUGCUACUUUUUCUCGAAGUGCGAAUGAGGAAGAUUCAUCAAAUGUUGAUGAAAUCAACAAGUAUUAUGAUUGUAUAUAUAUCAUCUUGUGAAGCUUCUUGGAGAAUACUUGGAUAUCCAAUUCACUAUGGCAACUUCCAGUAGAAAGACUAGUAUUUAAUCUCAAAGAUGAACAAAAUGUUAUAUUCUCUGAUGAUAAUCCAAUUGAUGAUGCUAUCAAUCGAUCGAGUGCAAGAAACUCUAUGUUCUUAAGUUGAUUUGAGGCAAAUAAAAAGUUUCUUGAAGCUAAAUAAUUAACUUAUGCAGAAUUUUCUUUUAAAAGUGGCAAGUUAUAUCAUCACAGCUUACUGUUGAAUGUAAUUAGAGGUGCAACAAGCUAUGAGGAUCUCAAAAAGAUCAACAAUCAUGAUCACACCACUUUUAGAGAUGUGUGUUAUGCACUUGGCUUAUUAGAUGAUGACAGAGUAUAUUGUGUCAAGUAAUGGACCUUGGGCCUAACUCAACCUCAAAAGCUAGCUCAAGAGGUGAGGAUUACCCAAGUCCAUAUAAGCAAACCACUAGUCCACUCCCUAAUCAAUACAGGACUUUUACCCACUCUAACACCCCCCACCCACCCACCNNNNNNNNNNNNNNNNNNNNNNNNNNNNNNCGAGAGCCCAUAAUGGGAAUGAACCUGGCUCUGAUACCAUGUCAAGAAAUAGACCUUAGACCUAACUCAACCUCAAAAGUUAGCUCAAGAGGUGGGGAUUACCCAAGUUCAUAUAAGCAAAACCAUUAGUCCAUUCCACAACCAAUGUGGGACUUUUACCCACUCUAACUUAUUGAUGCCGUAAUGAAAGCAAGUGAUUGGGGAAUGUCAUCAUAUCUUUGAUAAUUAUUUGCAAUAUUGUUAUUAUAUAAUUCAAUGUCACGAUCAAAAUAUAUUUGGCAAUUAACAUGAAAAUUAUUAUUAGAAGAUAUCCUCCAAGAAGAAAGAGUAUUGCUAUCUAAUCCAGGUAUAAAUUUAUAGUUAAGAAUAUCUAACAUUUUGUUUGGAGGUUGAUAUCAUAUUUUAUUACUAUCGUUUUGAUAGUUUUAUUCUUUCAGAGGCAUAGAUGACAGAUGAUGAAUUGAGAAAUCAUUAUUUGCAAUGGUAGGAAAAUUUUUUGGAAGUUUGGGGAACCUUUUUUUAGGAUUUUUUGACUAUACCAAGACCAGUUUACAAUGAGCAACAAGUGGACAAUAGCAGUAGAUUAAUCCUUGAUUAAUUAUGUUAUAACAGACACUCUUUGUUAGUUGAACGCCUAUAGUUAAUAGUGAAUUUGACAUCUAGACAUAAGUCGGUGUAUGUAAUGCCCCAAAUCUGAUACCCGAAACGCUACACGAUACUCAUGAUCCCAAAGGACCACAAGCUAACCCAUGACUAAUAUUUGUACCUGAACACUGUAUAAUAUACUGUAUAAAUGCAAAAAUAAAGGCUAUAAGGCCAUAAGGUUCAAAACUGAUAAAAUAAUCUCUAAAUGAUAUGGUAUCAAAACACCAAAAAGAAAAACUUGAAAUAAACUAUCUGAACAUGAUAGUCUGAAAAGCCUCUAACUGAUUGAACUGUCUAAAUAAAGAGUUGAUGGGACAUGUCCCCAACUAACUCCAACUACAGAAAUAAAUUAAUUAAUGAGAUAAUAAAGUAAUGGUCAUGUCCUUGAAGGAUGAGGACUCACUGCCAACUCUGACUGCUGAGACUGGAAUACUACUGAUACUUUGGAGCUCGUGCUUCUGAACCUAUGGUAUAAAACACCAUAGCGCAAAUGCAUCAGUACGUUUGAAUGUACUGGUAUGCAUGUGAGGUAGGCUUAAUGCAAAAGGGUUCAUAUGCAUGAACUAUACUAACUGACUGCAUAACAUGAACGUGAGAAUACAUGCAUGAAUACAUAAUAACUAUAACUGAGUUCGUGAUAACAUGAUUACUGAGUUUGAGUACUGAUAACAUGAGAUACCGAUAGUUAUAUAACUGAAAUAACUGAUGCUGAGCGACUGUAUCUAACAGUCCAGGUUCUGAUGAAACUAGCUGAGUUCCAUGUUGUUCUAAGUUGACUGUAUCUGACAGUCCUGAAUUGUAUAGAACUAUCUGAGUUCUAUUACUGAGACUGAAUGAUUGUAUCUGACAGUCUAGAUUUUGUAACUGAAACUAUGGGAAGUAGUCAUCUAACCGACAUGCCCCAAUUAAAAAUCAACUGAAACUGCGGAAAGUAGUCAUUAACCCACAUGCCCCAAUUAAAGCAAUGUAGCUGAGUUGGGGUCCAAUCUGUAACCCCAAUUAGAAGGGUGUCAAUACCUCGCCACUGAUAAGAACAAGCUGUGGGUAACCCUCAUCUGAUAGUGUCCCAAAAGAGAACGGUCGGAUCCUUACCUGACAGUGUUUAUCCACCUUAUCAACCCUCAUCUGACAGUGUUGAUGUCUCAACCUAUGCUGGAUACAUAGUUCUGGAACGCAAGAAUGACUUCUAAGAAUCACAUCCUCAUCUAACAGUGAGUGUUCCCAUCCUUGGGUUCACUCGGUGCUACUUCCUACUCCCCAUCUGAAUAGACACUGAACAUGGAUUACUAAACUGAACUAGACUGAAUUAACUGAGUUUCAUUGACUGACGGAAUACUACUGAGAUUACUGAAUUUCUAAGAUUACUGGGUUUACUGAGUUUUUCUGAGUCACAUGACUGACUGAAUUUCUAUGAACAUGGCUCGACUGUGAGUAUCUUGAAAACAUGACACUGACUCUAGGCACACAGCUAAUUUUCGGGUACAAGUACUCCCAGGACUCGAUAGCAUGAAACUGACAAAGCAUGACUUUCUUGAAUACAUGACCAACAUCAUAAUCCUUAAUACAAUAAGAUGGAGAUUUCAAGAAGUAGAAGUUCUAAAGCACCACAAGGCUACACAUGUAUCCAUAAUUCAUUGACUAAGACAUUUCAUCAAACAUUUGACAUGCAUAAACUUGUACAUGAUUGGGGAUUUCAUAUUAUCAUACUAGUAUGGCACUUUUCCUUCACAUAGGCAUUUAAUCAAACACAUGGGGAGAAUGCUUUGGUUAUACAACCAUCAACACAUCUAAUAAUCCUGGAUACAUUAAUCAACGUGUAAAUUUAAAGGUUUAUCAUGAUUAUUAUGCAAAUCACCACAUCCUAGGGUUAAUCAUUGGAAUAUGUAAUUUCAAACAUGAAUCAAAACCCCACAACAUCAUGAACAUAAAUUUCAAUUCAAUUUAAAUCAUGAACAUUCAUACAUACAAAAAUCUUGGAUUUUAAAAAGAGAUUCUUGAUUCAAAUCAUGUACAAGUUUAUGGGUGAAAGGGACCCAUGAAUAAACACAUAACAUACCUGGGUUAUAAGUUUCUUGAAGUUCUUGGACUUGAAGAACUUAAAUCUCUUAGUUUCUUAAAGAAGAUUUGGAUCUUGUUUCUUGGGAAUUAUCUUUGAGAGAAAACCUUAAUUUGAUGUUGUAGAUGGAUAAUGAACUUAUGAGCCUUGGUCUGAUAUAAUUAGGGGUUAAAACGGGUGGAAAAAGAUCCAAAUACCCUUUUAAAAAUGACUUAAAAAUAACGGAAUGAACUAUGCGACGGUUUGUCGCUAGGUCGAUGGUCCGUCGGUCCUAACCGUCGCACCUGAGCAGAAUAGGGGUUCACUGUCUAUGCUGCGAUGGCUUGGGCGACGGUCCGCCACUAGCUCGAUUGUCCGUUGGCCUGAGUCAUCGCCCUUAGGCAGAAGGUGGUCUCACUGCCUCCACUGCAAUGGCUUGGGCGACGGUCCAUCGCUAGCUCAACGGUCCGUCGGCCCUCAGCGUCGCACCUGGGCAGUUUUCACUGUUUUCUGUAAAAUGGCCAUAACUUUCUACCCCGAUACCAGUUUUUGACGAAUUUGAUAUCGUUGGAAUGCUAAUUCAAUUUUCCACAUGAAAAAAAGUGAAUCUUAAAAAUUCUACGUACAUAAAAGUGGAUUCAUCUUUCAAAGUAAGUUUCUAACAUACUUUGGAUGAUUUCAAGCUAGGUAGAAGUACGAGGUAUUACAAUAUCUCCCCCUUGAGAACACUCAUCCUCGAAUGAGACUGAGUGAGAGGGGAGAAGAUAAACUGACAUACAUACUGAACAUGAAUAACUGAAACAUGAUCUCAUGACUAACAUGACUGACAACUGAAUAUAUAUAUCAUACUGAACAUGCAUAUCUGAUGCAUGAGUAACUGAUUUAUGAAUGCAUGACUAAAUUACUGAUAAGAUGAGUUUCUCAUCAAACUGAACACGCAUAUCUGAUACAUGAUUAUAUGACUGAAUUGGUGCAUAAAUGCAUGACUGAAUAUGCAAUGGUAUUUAAUACCAAGUUUAUAAAGAAAUUCUGAACAUGAAAUGGAUACCAAGCUUGUAACUGAAAUCUGAACAUAAAACUGAAAAGCUUAAGGAGAACUGUUGCCUUGAGUUAGACCUGAGUUGGUAGAGAAGAGGUGAGGAUACUUGGUAUGCAUGUCUGCUUCUGCUUGCCAAGUAUCUCCCUCAACGGACUGAUUUCGCCAAAGAACUUUGACUAGAGAGGCUUCUUUGUUCCUCAGUCUAUGAAUCUGCUAGUCUAGAAUUUUGAUCGAAAUCUCUUCGUAAGAGAGGCUGUUCUAAAAAUUUAAGAUCUAAAUAGGGACUAUAACUGUUGGGUUACCUAUGCACUUCUUGAGCAAAGAGACAUGAAAGACUGGAUGAACUAAGGCUAGAUCUGAAGGCAAUUCGAGCUCAUAAGCUACCUUGCCAAAACAACUGAGAAUUUUGAAAGGACCAACAUAUCGGGGACUGAGCUUUCCCUUCUUGCCAAACCUCUUCACUCCCUUCCUGGGAGAGAUCUUUAAAUAGACAUAAUCACCAAUCUCAAACUCAAGAUCCUUUCUGCGCACAUCCGCAUAAGACUUCUGUCGGGUCUGAGCAGCCCGGAGUUUUUAUCUAAUCAACUGAACUUUUUCUAAGGUAUCAAAUACUAAGUCAGGCCCUAUAACUGAGGCCUAACUAACUUCGAAUAAACCAACUGGAGAUCUACAUCUCCUACCAUAAAGAGCUUUGAAUGGAACCAUCUUAAUACUAGAAUGAUAGUUGUUGUAUGCAAACUCAAUCAAAGGCAAGUGGUCAUCCCAACUACCCUUGAAAUCAAUUACACACACUCGCAGCAUAUCUUCUAAAGUUUGAAUGGUCCUUUCUACUUGACCAUCUAUCUGAGGAUGAAAGGCGGUACUGAGAUGAACUUGAUUACCAAGACCCUUUUGGAAUGUUUUCCAAAAAUGAGAGGUGAAUUGGGUACCUCUGUCUGAUAUAAUAGAUAACGGAACACCGUGCAAUCUGACCAACUCUCUGAUGUAAAGUUUGAUGUAAUCCUUGGCUGAAUAAGAGGUAUGGACUGGAAGGAAAUGAGCUGAUUUGGUCAUCCUAUAUACAAUGACCCAAACUAAAUCAUGUUGGCGACGAGUACGAGGCAACCCGUCACAAAAUCCAUGUUCACUUCUUCCCACUUCCAAGUAGGAAUACAGAACUCCUGUAUGGACCCGUUACGCUUCUGAUGCUCUAUCUUAACUUGCUGACAUGUAGAGCACUUACCCACAAACUCUGCAAUAUCUCUUUUCAUCCCACUCCACCAAUAGAUCUCCCACAAGUCGCGAUACAUCUUUAUGGACCCUGGAUGAAUAGAGUAGCACGCACCAUGCGCUUCUACAACAAUUCGUUGUCUUAAGUCAUCUACACCUGGAACACACAAACGACCCUGACAACGCAAAAUACAAUCUCCCCCUUGGGAGAAAACCUCUACUUUUUUAUCCUUGACUAACUCCUUUAACUUGACAAGGCUGGGAUCUCUAUCUUGCUUUUCUUUCACCUCAAAAACUAGAGAUGAUUUUGAGCUACUCUGAACCCAUAUAUCACCCUUUUCUGUAUCGACUAAGCGAACGCCUAGUCUGGCAAACUGAUGCACUUCUUGAGCUAACUUUUUACUACUAUCCUCAACAUGAACAACACUACUCAUAGACAGUCUAUAGACAGUCUACUGAGAGCAUCGGCCACCACAUUGGCCUUGCCCGAAUGAUUAAGGACACUCGUUUCAUAAUCUUUCAAGAGCUCUAACCACCUUCUCUCACAAAGAUCUUUUUAAGAUCUUUCUGAGAAAAGACAUACUGAAGGCUCUUAUGAUCUAUGAACAUAUCUACAUGAACACCGUACAAAUAAUGCCUCCAAAUCUUCAAGGCAAAUACUACGGCUGCUAACUCAAGAUCAUGAGUAGGAUAAUUCUUCUCAUGAGGUUUAAGCUGUCUAGAGGCGUAGGGUAUGACCUUAUCAUGCUACAUGAGGACAUAACCCAAACCUACUUUGGAUGCAUCACAAUACACUACGAACCCAUCUGAACCCUCUAGAAGAGCUAGGACUAGAACUGAGGUGAGUCGAGUCUUCAACUCCUGAAAACUCUUCUCGCAAGGAUCUGACCACUGAAACUUGACUUUUUUCUGAGUCAAUUUAGACAUAGGGGAUGCAAUAGAAGAAAAUCCCUCAACAAACCGUCUGUAAUAGCUAGUCAAACCUAAGAAACUCAUGACAUCUGAUGAAGAGACAAGUCCGGGCCAGUUUCUUACUACUUCGGUCUUUUGAGGAUCAACUCUAAUGUCAUCACCAGAAAUGAUAUAACCAAGGAAUGUUACUGACCUUAGCCAAAAUUCUCACUUACUAAAUUUGGCGAACAACUAAUGAUCUCUGAAAGUAUGAAGCACGAUUCUGAGAUGGUCUGCACGAUCAUGCUCACUGCGAGAAUAGACAAGAAUGUCAUCUAUGAAGACGGUGGCGAACAUGUCCAAGUACUGCUUGAACACACGAUUAAUCAAGUCCAUAAAAUCUGCUGGGGCAUUGGUAAGACCAAAGGACAUGACCAGAAACUCGAAGUGACCAUACCGAGUACGAAAAGCUAUUUUCAGAAUGUCACAUUCUCUGACUCUGAGCUGAUGAUAGCCUGAUUUGAGGUCUAUCUUAGAAAAAUAGCUAGCACCCUGAAGUUGAUUGAAAGAGUCAUCGAUUCUGGGAAGAGAAUGCGUGUUCUUGACCGUGACUUUAUUGAGAUGACGGUAAUCAAUGCACAUUCUAAGAGAACUGUCUUUCUUGCGCACGAAUAAGACUAGUGCACCCCAUGGGGACACACUGGGUCUAAUAAAGCUAUUAUCUAAGAGAUCCUUGAACUGCUCCUUCAAUUCUCUGAGUUUUAUUGGUGCCAUUCUGUAUGGCAGAAUAGAUAUAGGCUGAGUAUCUAGAAGAAGAUCAAUGCCGAAGUCUAUUUCCCUUUCGGGAGCAAUUCCUGUAAGAUCUUCGAGGAAGAUAUCUGAAUAUUCAUUUACGACUGAGGCUGAUUUGAGAUUGGGAGUUUCAAAACUAAUGUCCUUAACUCGAACAAGAUGAUAAACACAUUCUUUUAGAUAUCAUUUUUCAUGCCCGAAAGGAGGAAAUAAGCUGACCUCUUAAAGCUGAAGUACUACCCCUCCACUCUAGGAUAGGUUCAUUCAGAAACUGAAACUGGACUAUUCUGUUUCUGCAGUCGACUGUGGCAUAGCAGGAAAGCCAAUCCACGUCGAGAAUGACAUCAAAAUCAGUCAUCUCUAACUCGACUAAAUCUGCUGAGAUGAUUUUCUGAAAUAUCAUGACCAGGCAGUUCCUAAAUACCCACCGGGCUAUGAUGGUUUUUUCCACUGGGGUAGACACUGAGAAGGGAUCAACUGGAAUUUUGGGACUGGCUCUGAAAUCAAUUGCUAUAUAGGGAGUAACAAAAGACAAAGAAACUCCUGAAUCUAGCAAAGCAUAAACAUGCACAUGAAAGAUCUAUUACGUACCAGUAACCACAUCAAAAGAAUUUUCCUAAUCUUGACAGGACUGAAGAGCAUAAAAUCGAUUUGGGCGUUGCCCACUAGUAGCAUUGGAAGUGGCAUCCUGCUGGUUUGGGCGACCGAACUGAGCUGGCGAACGGUUCUGCUGACCCUGAUAACCUGACUGGGGACAAUCUCUGACUCUGUGUCCUGGCUUUCCACAUUCGAAAUAGACAUUACUACCAACUCUGCAAACACUCUUGUGGUUCUUAGCAUAAGUCUGACAAGGGGAAUUAGUUUGGGCAUUGCUGACACUGCCCCGAGACUUAGAGCUUGGAGCCCUAUCUCUAUUACCAUCCCUGAACUUAGGAGCUGGAGAACUGGCUGAAGAACAAAAUUGAGAAAGGUUUUCUCCUUCUGAUUUGGGCUGAGCAAAGUUGAAAUGCCCUAUCCUUACUCUUUUAUUCUGCUUCUCCCUCAUCUUAAUCUUUUGCUUCUCUAUCUGCAGAGCAUGAGUCAUAAGCCUGGCUAAAGUCAUGUCACUAUUCAACAUCGCAGACUUACACUCGUUGACCACACUAUCGUUCACCCCAAAGACAAACUUACUUAUCUUGGACCUACUGUCUGAAACCACAUGAGGGGCAUAUCUAGCUAAUUGAGUAAACUUAAGAGAAUACUCUCUCACCGUUAUGUUGCUCUGCAUGAGGUUGAUGAAUUCUAACACCUUAGCCUCUCUCAGCUCUUAGGGAAAG
rnacentral:lncRNA from 1 species